GGGAGGAUGGCCGAGCGGUUAUGGCGUGUGACUCAAGUUCUCAUGGGCUUAGUCCCGCGUGGGUUCGAAUCCCACUCCUCUCA
rnacentral:tRNA from 1 species